UCCAUAACGAGCGCAACCCUACCUUUAGUUGCCAUCAGGUAAUGCUGGGGACUCUAAAGGAACUGCCUACGCAAGUAGUGAGGAAGGCGGGGAUGACGUCAAAUCAGCACGGCCCUUACGUCCAGGGCUACACACGUGCUACAAUGGCCGAUACAGAGGGCAGCUACCUGGUGACAGGAUGCAAAUCUCCAAAGUCGGUCUCAGUUCGGAUCGGAGUCUGCAACCCGACUCCGUGAAGUUGGAUUCGCUAGUAAUCGCGCAUCAGCCAUGGCGCGGUGAAUACGUUCCCGGGCCUU
rnacentral:rRNA from 1 species